rnacentral:rRNA from 1 species
GACGAACGCUGGCGGCGUGCCUAAUACAUGCAAGUCGAACGCUUCUUUCCUCCCGAGUGCUUGCACUCAAUUGGAAAGAGGAGUGGCGGACGGGUGAGUAACACGUGGGUAACCUACCCAUCAGAGGGGGAUAACACUUGGAAACAGGUGCUAAUACCGCAUAACAGUUUAUGCCGCAUGGCAUAAGAGUGAAAGGCGCUUUCGGGUGUCGCUGAUGGAUGGACCCGCGGUGCAUUAGCUAGUUGGUGAGGUAACGGCUCACCGAGGCCACGAUGCAUAGCCGACCUGAGAGGGUGAUCGGCCACACUGGGACUGAGACACGGCCCAGACUCCUACGGGAGGCAGCAGUAGGGAAUCUUCGGCAAAGGACGAAAGUCUGACCGAGCAACGCCGCGUGAGUGAAGAAGGUUUUCGGAUCGUAAAACUCUGUUGUUAGAGAAGAACAAGGACGUUAGUAACUGAACGUCCCCUGACGGUAUCUAACCAGAAAGCCACGGCUAACUACGUG